rnacentral:snRNA from 1 species
AUACUUACCUGGCAAGGGAGACACCGUGAUCACGAAGGCGGUUCACCCAGGGCGAGGCUCAGCCAUUGCACUCCGGCUGUGCUGACACCUGCGAAUUUCUCAAAUGUGGAAAUCUCGAUUGCAUAAUUUCUGGUAGUGGGGGACUGCGUUCGCGCUCUCCCCUG